AAUGCAAGCCAUGUUUCAGGAAGACUAACCUGGGGGUGGGGAGCACAGGAGAUACAGGGGCAGGAGAAGAAAGCGAGACAGAAUGAAGGCAAAGGAACCAGCUGGAGGUAAACAAGAUUGGAAGUAAUCAAAGACACCUGACAAGUAAUCAAAGCCUCCUUAUUGUUAAGGGCUCCAUUGCCUUCCUGAUCAUGAACUGCCAACUCUCUCACAAAAUAUUGGCAGAGAAACAUUGUAAACAGGAAGGAAGAAGGAACUUUGUUUCAGAAGCUAUAGUAAAACAUCCGCCUUUCCAAAUGGUUCAGAGACGCUGUGUACAGCUCCGUCUGCUGUUAAAAUCUGUUUUCAGGAGAUUAGACACUACCACACACACGUACCUUCAAUUACUAGAGAAUCAUAGUAAUGGUUUUAUUUCCUUUUAACUGCCCACUAUUAGGCCCACGAGAGAGGAGGGGAGAGCGAGAGAGAAAAAGGGUAGGAGAGGGACUUGGCAGAAGGGAAAAUAAGUCCCUUCCAGGUAGACAAGCUUCAAGUUAAUGAAGUGUUCUGCUAGCAAGAUUCUCAACAAGAUGUGAGACACUCCUCUGUCCCUGAGGGGUCCCACCAUGGAAACUCAGGUUUGUAAAAAGCCCCUUUUAAAUGUGCCUUUCAGAACUGAAUAUACCAGAUGAGAUGUAGUGGGGCAGACCCAGAUUUAAGUGGGUUGUGGCCAUCCUUCCAUCCCUGAUGAGGAUGGCAGGCUGUACUUCAACUCCACCUUGACCUCAUGCUAAGAUUCAAGUCCAGUCAACGAAGUCUAGUGUCGAUCAGUACUCAUCCACACUCCACAGGGUAGAAUCACAAAUACCCUCUCCUACCAAAUCUGAUACCCAACUGCCUUCCCCACUAUGCUUUUGAACAAACCCUUCAUUCCAGGUAGGCCAGCCUACCCACUUUCUGUACGAUUUUUGUAUUUUGAACU